CAAUGGAAUACGUUCCAACUCUUGCGAGUGCAAUUGUACUCUUUGUGUUUUCGAUAAAUCGCAUCCGUCAAAAUGUUUCUCGUACGGUGAUCGCAGUUUAUUUUAACCCGAUAUUCGAAACUCAGUAAAUGGGAUUUAAUGCAAAUACGACUCGUCGAAAUGGCGGGAGCUUACAGUAAACCUUUUAAUAUUAGUCUAUUUUGGUAUUGUAUAAAACAAAUAAUGAAUGUUUUUAUUCGUGCAAUGAUAAGAAUAUUUUCAUUCGG
rnacentral:lncRNA from 1 species